rnacentral:rRNA from 1 species
UACAGAGGUCCCAAGCGUUGUUCGGAUUCACUGGGCGUAAAGGGUGCGUAGGCGGUCAUUUAAGUCUGACGUGAAAUCUCCGGGCCUAACCCGGAAACUGCGUUGGAAACUAUCUGACUAGAGGAAUGGAGGGGAGACUGGAAUACUUGGUGUAGCAGUGAAAUGCGUAGAUAUCAAGUGGAACACCAGUGGCGAAGGCGGCUCACUGGCCCGAUACUGACGCUGAUGCACGAAAGCGUGGGGAGCAAACAGG